CCUACGGGAGGCAGCAGUGGGGGAUAUUGCACAAUGGGGGAAACCCUGAUGCAGCGACGCCGCGUGGGUGAAGAAGCGCCUCGGCGCGUAAAGCCCUGUCAGCAGGGAAGAAAAUGACGGUACCUGAAGAAGAAGCCCCGGCUAACUACGUGCCAGCAGCCGCGGUAAUACGUAGGGGGCAAGCGUUAUCCGGAUUUACUGGGUGUAAAGGGGGCGCAGACGGCGAUGCAAGCCAGGAGUGAACGCCCGGGGCCCAACCCCGGGACUGCUCUUGGAACUGCGUGGCUAGAGUGCAGGAGGGGCAAGCUGAAUUCCUGGUGUAGCGGUGAAAUGCGUAGAUAUCAGGAGGAACACCGGUGGCGAAGGCGGCCUGCUGGACUGCAACUGACGUUGAGGCCCGAAAGCGUGGGGAGCAAACAGGAUUAGAUACCCGGGUAGUC
rnacentral:rRNA from 1 species